AAUUUCACAUCCUCCGGAGUCGACUCCAAGAACUCUUCUCCAAAUUCUAAUGCUUCCCACCAUCUUCCUACCUUCCCAACUCCCCUGUUCCACGACAUUCAUCCAGAACGGAAUCUAGAUUAGAACAAAAACAUCCCCUGUUUCUCUGCGACCUCCUCCACAUCCUUUCCGAUCUUAUCUUCCCAAGAUAGAACCGAGUCCAAGAUUCCUUCUGCUGCAAGAUCAGCUUCUAGAUAAGCUUCAAAUCCCAGCAGAAUUUCAUUAUCCUACAGAUCAGCGAAUCCAACCUUCCUCCUCUUCCGAAUCCUUCCCAGAUUUUCCCUCGGGCUUAUCUUCAUCUCCACCGCGUUGAACCAACAUCAGCAACUUCCGGAUCAACCCCAUUCAACUGUGUCCGAGCAUCCUACGAGCAUCAUGUCUUCCCAGAUUUUGUCCCGUUCGGAUUACAUCCUUAUCCCCCGCUUCGGAUAAGUCCCAAACUCCCUCCCAUUCGUAGUUGUCCAGCAAAUCCUUCAUCGCCCAUGAUGAAUCCAACGCGUCCCAGCUACAUCCAAGAUCCUCUCCGCAUUGAAGAAGCGCCGAUUCCUUCCAUCGCCCACGGAUAAGUGCAGCUCCUACCAGCCUCCGAGAUCCUCCCAGCAUCCUCUCCCCUGUUCCGCGUGUCCAUUCCCUUCCGGAUGAGAACCAGCAACCACUGCCAGCUGCUCCCCCUCGCAGACUCAAAUCAACUUCCGGAUCCCUGAGAACAGAGCUUAUCCUCUCCGAAAAUCAAGCAUGUCAUUCUACGUUCAGCCUUCCACAUUCCAAGCUUCUCCUCGCAUCCAUAAUCCUCUUCCCAUCGUAUCUUCACAACAGUCUCCACGUCCCAGCCAUCUUCCGGACUGAUCCCAGCCAAAUUCCUUAGUCUCCUGCAUCCGGAUAUCCCGCGGCCAGCCAAGAUUCAGUAGCCAUUCAGAUUAGAUCCAUCUCCCGUUUCCAGCAUCCCACUGUUCGCAAGGAUCAAGCAAUCCUCCCGUGUCGUGGCUUCCAAUCUUUUCUCCCUUCGGAACAGAGUAUCAGCCUAUCCACUACUUCCGAACCAGCCCAGUCUUCUGGAUUCAUCCCAACCAACCGCGAAUCAAAGUCUUCCUUAUCCCCCGCUUCGAAACAGGAUCCCAGCAAUUUUUCCUUGAUUCAUCUUCAUCCCAUGAGCCAUAUCCUCCCUCCGGAUCACUUCCCCUGCAUCCCAGUAGAACAGAGUUCAGCCACUCCGCGAUUGAAGGCUCCAUCAUCCACGGAUUCAAUUGUUCAGCAUGAGCCAUCCACCAUCCACACUUCUCCCCAACUUCAUGGAUCGUUAUCCCAACCACGAACGAAGUUCCAGCUUGUAAUACCCCAUGAAAAAAAAAAAAAGAGAAAAAAAAAAAAGGAAAGAGAGAUGGGCCGGCCCGAAAAGACCGGGCCCAUCCCUCUUUUUCCGAUCGUGCCCUAGGCACGAUCGUGGAUGAAGAGAGGAGAAUGGGAGAGAGGGGGGCGGCGGCGUUGGAGGGGAUCGUCGGAGAGGAGAUGGGCGCCGAGGUCCGGCCGGCCGCGGAGGAAGACCACUUUCCUUCGGUGAAGAUCCCCACAGGUGAAGAGACCUUGGAGCCGUGCGCAUUAAUCCGAGCUGCUCGCGGACUUUCUCCACCGAGUCCUCGCCGGAAGGGUCGCCGGAGCACUUCGUCGGACCGAGGGGAAGAGUCAGCGGUGCCAGGAGGUUUUGAUCAGGGGACUCAGCACCCCAGCUCGUAGGUUGUGAUCCAGAUCUGUAUUUGAGUCUGUCUACAAUUUCGAGUUGCAGGAUGCAUAGAUUUGGAUGGGAUGGGUGCAGAGUGCGAAUACCAGAGUUAUUAGUUAGUUAGUUUGUUUAUCCUUCUUUGAUGUCGAUGAACAUUUGAAGGAUCUUGUAAUUGAACCAAUUUGUU